UACGAAGGGGGCUAGCGUUGCUCGGAAUCACUGGGCGUAAAGGGUGCGUAGGCGGGUUUUUAAGUCAGAGGUGAAAUCCUGGAGCUCAACUCCAGAACUGCCUUUGAUACUGAAGAUCUUGAGUUCGGGAGAGGUGAGUGGAACUGCGAGUGUAGAGGUGAAAUUCGUAGAUAUUGGGAAGAACACCGGUGGCGAAGGCGGCGACCUGGUCCGAUACUGACGCUGAGGCGCGAAAGCGUGGGGAGCAAACAGG
rnacentral:rRNA from 1 species